AUUGAACGCUGGCGGCAUGCCUUACACAUGCAAGUCGAACGGCAGCGGACCUUCGGGUGCCGGCGAGUGGCGAACGGGUGAGUAAUAUAUCGGAACGUACCUUUCAGUGGGGGAUAACGUAGCGAAAGUUACGCUAAUACCGCAUAUUCUGUGAGCAGGAAAGCAGGGGAUCGCAAGACCUUGCGCUGAUUGAGCGGCCGAUAUCAGAUUAGCUAGUUGGUGAGGUAAAGGCUCACCAAGGCGACGAUCUGCAGCGGGAUCUGAGAGGAUGAUCCGCCACACUGGAACUGAGACACGGUCCAGACUCCGUACGGGAGGCAGCAGGUGGGGUAAUUUUGGACAAUGGGCGCAAGCCUGAUCCAGCCAUGCCGCGUGAGUGAAGAAGGCCUGGU
rnacentral:rRNA from 1 species